AUCUCAAUUCGUGGACGGGCCAACGAUUUUAGUUGAGCCAAAGGCUUUCACCAGUUAAUAGCACGAAAUUGUGUCUUUCCCCAGCGGACGAAAAAACCAAAAGCAAAUUCAAUCAACAUGAGCGAAGCCCGUAACCUGUUCACCACCUUCGGCAUCCUGGCCAUCCUCCUUUUCUUCCUUUACCUUAUCUACGCCGUCUUGUAAAAUGUUAGCGACUAGAAGAAGGUUCUUAGAGCAGGGUCGAAGCAGCCAGCAACCAAAAAAAUUAAAAUCAAAAUGAAUGAGGCCAAGAGUUUGUUCACCACCUUCCUCAUCCUGGCCUUCCUUCUGUUCCUGCUCUAUGCCUUCUACGAAGCCGCCUUCUAGGCCCAUCCCAGUCACCAUGACCACCACCACCAACCAUCACCCAUCAAGUAUAGCUUACAUGUUGAAUUUCAAUUCCAAGCCGCCGGCCAUCCCAUCAUCUUGAGGUCCGGUGGAGCUUCUAGGACCCUACGCGUUUAAGAUGUUUAGCAUUUAAUGGAUUUCUACUAGUAACCUAAGCCAGAUGACGUCAAAGCCACCAGCUGCCAAAAACGGAGGCUCGGCAAUCAGGAUGAUCAUUUAGCUGAUCUAUGGCCAGCCCCUGCUAUGUGUGCUCUGCCACAUUUGAACAAUCUUUGAGGCGUUACAAUAUCGAUCCAUUCGGAUACAACAUUGCUGCCGGCCUUGGCGUCAUCUGUUCUAAUCAUAAAUAUUAUUUUGUGAUCUUUCUAUAUUUUUGUUCGGCAAUGGAAUCUACUUAGUUUGCAAUUAAAUUCAUAGACCAUGAUGUACAGUAUAUGCAAAUUGAGAACAACAUCAGCAAUCAAUGUGAACGAUCAGAAAUUGGUUAUUUCAUUGUUAAACAACACAUUUAUUUCGCAUUCGUAGUUAUUAAGACAUACAUAAUGUAUAACUGCAUUUUACUCGACUUUUCUUAAAUCAUUUGUGAAUAACAACCGCAAAAAAGAACAACAUUAAACUGCAGGAAUAAAACCAACAAAAAACUA